rnacentral:rRNA from 1 species
ACGUAGGGGGCAAGCGUUAUCCGGAAUUAUUGGGCGUAAAGAGUGCGUAGGUGGUUUUUUAAGCGUGAGGUGAAAGGCAAUAGCUUAACUAUUGUAAGCCUUGCGAACUGGAAGACUUGAGUGCAGGAGAGGAAAGUGGAAUUCCUAGUGUGGGGGUGAAAGGAGUAGAUAUUAGGAGGAACACCAGAGGCGAAGGCGACUUUCAGGACUGUAUCUGACGCUGAGGGACGAAAGCGUGGGUAGCAAACAG